rnacentral:rRNA from 1 species
CCUACGGGGGGCAGCAGUGAGGAAUAUUGGUCAAUGGACGAGAGUCUGAACCAGCCAAGUAGCGUGACGGAUGACUGCCCUAUGGGUUGUAAACUUCUUUUAUAUGGGAAUAAAAUGUUCCACGUGUGGGAUUUUGUAUGUACCAUAUGAAUAAGGAUCGGCUAACUCCGUGCCAGCAGCCGCGGUAAUACGGAGGAUCCGAGCGUUAUCCGGAUUUAUUGGGUUUAAAGGGAGCGUAGGUGGAUUGUUAAGUCAGUUGUGAAAGUUUGCGGCUCAACCGUAAAAUUGCAGUUGAAACUGGCAGUCUUGAGUACAGUAGAGGUGGGCGGAAUUCGUGGUGUAGCGGUGAAAUGCUUAGAUAUCACGAAGAACUCCGAUUGCGAAGGCAGUUCACUGGACUGCAACUGACACUGAGGCUCGAAAGUGUGGGUAUCAAACAGGAUUAGAUACCCUUGUAGUC